AAAAUCUUCACCAUCCAUGGUCGUUAACAACAAGGCUCCUCCAGAGAAAACCUUCUUGACCACGAAUGGACCUUCAUAAUUGGGUGUCCACUUGCCCCUACGAUCAUUUUGAGGAGGAAGGAUCCUUUUCAACACCAUAUCACCCACGUGAUACACAUGAGGUCGUACCUUUCGGUCAAAAGCACGCUUCAUUCGCUGCUGGUACAACUGCCCAUGACAAAUGGCUGCCAGCCUCUUUU
rnacentral:lncRNA from 1 species